rnacentral:misc_RNA from 1 species
GGUGCCUGAAUGAAAUGUCUGCACUCCUGAACUUGUCAGUGGGAAUUUGUGAGUGUUUUUAUAGAUUGUGAAUGGUUUAUUGGAUAUAAAAGAAAGAUUACAUCUGGAAAUAUUACAUCAAUCUUCAGGCAUCAACAUCUUGCACAGAAAGACUUCCAAAUACUGAGUUGAACUACUAGCAAUUUGUGUUUGUGCGUUGGCUGGUGGUUUGCGUUGGUUGAUUGAUGGGGUGUGUGUGCGUGUUUGUUGGGGAAGUCAUGCCUAAUGGCAGUAAGCAUCGACAAGCAGACGUUCACACUGCAAUUUCAGAAGAAAGUCACACUUGAGUUGGCCGUACUCAAUCAGAAGCUAAGUCACCAGCUUCGUCAUGAAAUAACGCAGGCGUUUGAAGAGUCGCUUUUCACUGACUUGGAAGUGCGCAUUGGUGGCAGUGGUGGUGCAGCCCUAGUCAGAACCCACAGCUGCAUUGUUCAGUCGCGAACCCCCAAAUUCUAUUCAAAGGUCUGUGCCAAUCGGCACUCUGUUGUUUUGCCCGAAAAAGCUGAUCGACGCUCGAUUGAAGCUUUUUUUAGGACUCUUUACUGGUGUAACGAUGUGAGUCAAGAGGAGAAUGACAUUCUUAAACAAUUGAAACGUCUCUAUCAACAGCAGCAACAACAACAGGUAGCUACACCCGAAUCGGACGUCUACCUGACCCCGCAAGCGUCGCCGUCUGGUAGCGAUUUCAGCAACCAGCAGCGUUUCUCCUCCAACAGUUUUGCGCUCGAUGAUCAGCCGUCCCUCAGCCAUCUAGAUCAGCAACAGCACAAGAAGAAUGCAGCACUCUAUUAUUCGCUGGUGCCCAUCGAUGAGGUGUUUGACAGCGACUGCAGCUGCAGCACCGGCGGAGUGGGUGUGCUAGAGAGGGAGCUAGCCGAACAAGACCAGCUGUUCAAAUCGUUCAAAUCGAUUCUGAGCAAAGAACAGCGGACAAAGAGGCCUUCAGCAGCUAACAAACGUACAAAACCGACAUCUUUGUCGCUAACGUCUAGUCACAAUCCAAAACAACUAAAUAACUUCGAUAGUCUGCAGAAGACUUUUAAUGUGGAGAAUCUCCCGAAGAGUAGUUCAGCUUUAAAUAACGUUGAUAGUGUACAAAAGAACUCAGCAGGUACCAACCUGGAUAAUCCACACAAGAAUCCAACUCCUAUCAACCUGGAUAGUGUACAGAAGAAUUCUAGUAGUUAUGUGGAUAGUGUAUCAAAAAUUGUAAAUAGUAAGAAAAAAUCGGCGGUGGAUUUGAAGAGAAUUGGAAGGAAGUGUAGCGAAGACGAGGAGGUUAAUAAUUGUGAUAGAAAUGUGCAGGAUGUGGAAGAGAUCUGCAUGAAUAAGGUAGCGAAAGUGGUGGACAGUGGGGUGGGGGUGGGGGUAGGAGUGAAGGAGUCGGAUGACGCGAUGAGCAAUCCGGAGACAGAGGUGUUGGAUGCAGCGUCGUCGGGCUACGUGACGGGGAGCAGCCCCCGUGAGCACACCGUGUCCGUGUCGGAGGUGACGGAGGCCGAGGACCUCAUGCCGCACGACGACAAUGACGUCAUCCGCGCGCGGAGGGGAGGGGGCGAGUCGUCGUCGUCCGUCUCAUCGGACGGCGGCACUUGGGACUCCACUUUCCCUGAGUCGGCCGCCAAAGUCGUCACUGCUGCCAACCUCCCCGAUCUGGUGCAGAUCGAGAACAACCUCAACACUCAGGUCGAUCUGUUCGAACCUGCUCGUCUGCCGAGGAACGGCGUUCGCACUCCUGUCGAACAAACACAUCCCCAACAAUGCUUGAGAAGCCUUGAACUGUCUCCCAAGAGACAAGCUACGGGAGGCGAAAGUAACGUAAAAGAGGUGACUAGUACUGCUUCGUUCGAUAAGACUCCAGAUCAUAGCAGUCCAACAAACGAACUUGACCGCAAAAGUCAAUCAAAAAAUAGAGCAGGCAAUCAAAGUUUGGAAGGAACGUCAUUGAAUAGGGCUUGCAAGUCUCCAGACAAUAAAUAUUCCAAUCUUAACUGUCAUUCUGGGAACGAACAGAUUGACAAGAAUGCUGAGGAUACAUCUUGUAGUUUGUUGAAUAAUGGUUGUAAAUCUCCAGAAAAAUCUGGAGACAAUCACUGUGCAGCUUCAAAGAAUAACUUCUUUAUCGAUGCGUCCAGUUUGCUGGAUGAAAGUGAACUGGCCAAUCUACAAGUGACUAGUAACAAUGGUGGUAGUUACACGUGUCAAAACGAUAUCUGUUGCAAUGUGAUUGAUGGUAAUUGCAAUGAAGAGGUGAAAGUUGAAAAUAAAAAUGGAAGUCUAGAUGUGAAUGGUAGUGAGAAAAAAUCGGAGGUUAGUCCAACUGCUGAAAUGACGUUUGAAGAGCGGAGAUCUAGCCUAAUCAGACGUAAUACUUUUGAACUGGAUCCGGAUGAUGGAAAGAAACUAGUCAAACUUCAAGAGGAGUUUAAGAAGAGUAAAGAUUUUGAAAAUACUUGCCGAGAAAAUUGUGUGGAUGUGAAGAAGCCAUUAAAAUCACCCGAUUCACUGUCGAUUGUCGCUAAGAAUAUGUCGACACAGCGACAAGACGACGACAUGCACUCUCCUGACUCAUUAAAUAACGAUGCGCCAUUAGAGGGUAUGUUCGACGACAGAAACGAAGAGGAGAAACGACGAAUACUGGAUAAAGUGAACAAAGACAAAAUGAAUAAUCAAGAUGGCAGCGAGUAUGAUUCCACGAAACUAUACAAUAGUGGACUGUUCUAUAAUGUGGAGAAUACUUUGGAUCAGUGUUUCAAGUAUGAUUCGAAUAGGUUGCAUUGUGAUAAAGAUGAUUGUUCAGUGAAUGAGAAUGGGGGAAGCAGUAGGAUGAGUGACUGCAGUAGUACUCUGAGUAGAAGUUCGGCAGCUUGUGUGGGAAGUGUCGACAGGCUGAAUAGGAUCGAAUGCAUGCCAAUUGUGUCGGGCGGGGCUUCUAUCAGUGAUUUCUCCCCUCCCGUCAGUUGUGCCAGUCCUCUGGCCAGACGCAAAACAGAGAUGGCUCCGAUCUUGUCCGGAGGCUCAGUAUUAAUGCCUGAAAACGAUCAAAAAAUUGUACAAAAACCGAAAACUACCAGCGCAUUCACUGCGUCCUGGGUUGUGGACAUGAGUGACUCUGUCAAAUCCCCAGAAAUGCGCAAAAAGUCACGAUCAAACUCAGCCAGAAGUUCGGCGUCCAGUGAGGAACAUGACGAUCUAUCGAAAUCCAACUCUGAUGCCGCCAAGUCUCCACCAAUCAUGAAAACUAGUAAUCUCGGGUUUUUCAUACCGUUGGACGAUCCCAAAACUGACAAACCUGGAAAACUAGCCCCGAAACUCGAUCGACAAGACUCAAAAUCGGGUUCCCAGACCAGUAUUAAUCAAUCUUGUGGAUUUUUUAUUGAUCUCACUACGAAUGCGGAAAAACCGAAUGUCGAGAAAGUAGUUGAAAAGAGUAGUAGUGUGAUCCAGCCAGCUGAUAAGAAACUAUUCUCUAUGUUCAUUGACAUUAGUGAAACAUCUUCAACAGAGAAUGUGUCACCGAAAAGUAAGACCAGCUCACCGAACCUAUUUGCCAGCAAAAAAUUGAAGCCCAAAACGAUUGCUAGCAGAUUCCAGACAAAGCAUGAUGAUUUACGUUCGUCGGAUUCACAGUUGAGCUCUGAGUCGAGUAUUGAGAUGACUGUAGAACACCCAGAAGUGGCUCGUGGUAAGCAUUUGUUUGGCGAUCAAUUGAAUUGCACACCACCUCCCAGUCGACAAAUAUCUACUAACGAUAACUCUACAGCCGAUUUAACAAGCAGUCAACACGAGUCACGGAAGAAAGGAUUUUUCAUGUUUAUUGAGGCUGAGAACAGUUCGCCUGUACCCAGGCGCAGAACACUGCCAUCUGGAUUGCGGCCCAAUUCGCAACGGCACUCGUGGAAUUUAGACAAUGGUAAAAAUGGUGGCGGUGUAGUUGUCAAUCAAGAGGUGAAAAAAGAACACAAACGAGCUCACAGUGUGUCCGUCGAUAGGACUCUGGCCACAUCGUUCAGUAUUGCCAACUGUGAUGGCGAGAAAAAAUCGUCUAGUGUCACAUCGUUGGUGAAAAACAACAACAAAGAGUUUAAUAAUGUGAUGUUGGAUUCAGGCCCGGCGUCCAUAGAUGAAGCCUCGAUGCAGCGAAAUAGUCGCGCCAUGAUUUCGUCGUGGCAUGGACCGGUGAAGCCAUCCACCGAACUGCAGAAAGUUCUCGCUCGCAAAGAGUUGCGCGAAAGUAAAACGAUGCUGGGAUUGAGUAGCAAGGUGGGCGAAAACACGGCCAGUGAGACGAGUUUGAGUUGUGAUGAAACCUACGAUCUGCGAACGGACAGCGUGGUCUCGGACUUGUCGGACAGUGGGAAAGGAGGCAACAACUCGACGUUCAUAGUGGGCGAUGUGUCGAAUGUUGCAAACGCCGCCACCAGCAACAUGGAUCUGUCGACGCCCAGCCACGAAAUGGCCGCCAGUGAGUUGUCCAACGACAGCGAACCAGUUGUCAACGAGGAAGUGACCAAAAAACUGCAGACAGUUCGAGAGGAGAGCAGCAAGAGUUUUGUGAAGUUGUCGGACAUGGACAAGGAUCCUCCGCCUGUGAAGUUGGUGACUCAUAGGAAGUCCUACGAUUCAAGCGCAAGUCAGCACCGGAUGAGCCGCAGUAUUCCUGAGGCUGGGUCGUGGCUGGAGAACAGGUUGAUGACUCGGUCGGCAACCAGUCGGUCUCUCGGUCGCCUCUUCCCCCACCUACAGGUCCGCUCGCCGACCUCCACUGACGACGGAUUCAAUGCUGCCACUGACGUCUCCGAAAUGAGCAGUAUGCACAGCAGCAUCGAGCCUUCUGUCUUGGAGGGCAGCACGACAACAGACGACGGCUCUAUGUCGGUGCAGGGUGGCGGCGCCUGCUCGCGUCUGGGCGAAGAUCUACUGCGCAUGUUCGUGGAGGAGAUCAGCUGCGACGUCGUGGUGGAGGUGGGAGGGCGUCGACUGCGCGCGCACAAGUGCAUCCUGGCAUCGCGGUGCCAGUACUUCGCCGCCAUGCUCAGCGGUGGAUGGGUUGAGUCGGCCGGCAAUGUCAUCUCCCUCCAGGGAUUCUCAUAUAACGCCGUGCACUUUGCACUCUGCCACAUCUACAGUGGUACCAGCAAUAUUCCUGAUUCGAUAAAUAUAGUUGAGUUGGCAACACUGGCCGACAUGCUGUGUCUCGAGGGCCUCAAAGAGGUCAUCAUGUACACGCUCAAGGUCAAAUACUGUCACUUCUUCCACAAGCCAUGCGCACUGUGCACAGUGGGUGUGCUGGAGUGCCUGCCCCUGGCGGCCGCCUACGGCCUCGACGAGAUCUACCGCAAGAGUCUGCGCUGGAUCAGCAAGCACUUUGUGCGGGUCUGGCCCACCAAGGGAUUCGCCACUCUGCCUCGCGAGCUCAUCGACAAGUGUCUCAAACAGCAUGUUGUCCAUAUGAGCGUUGAGAAUGUGCUGGACACGGUGAUGAGCUGUGAGAAGCUGGAGGCGACCAUUCCACAGGUGCGGUGGGCCGACCCUGUAUUCGCAGUCACUCAGAGGCUGCACGACACGGCUGUCAAAUUCAUCACACAACACUUCAGUGGUGUUCUCGCUAGUGAAACGUUUUUAUCGUUUGGCGUGGACUCGGCAUGGAACCUGGAGCGUGUGAAGAAGACACUGCUAGGCGCAGUGGAGAGGGGAGGUGGGGGUGGUAGCGGAGGGGUGUCUCCCGACCAGGCAUGUCGCAGUCUCGCCCGGCUCCACACUCUGCUAGCGGUCGUCCCCGACGAUCAGUCUCCCACGCCAUGGUCUCCUGAGUUUGUGGGUCUGGUGGGCGAGCUGGCCGCAGCGUGUGAGAGCAGCGUGGUGAAGCAGGCGUCGCGUGCAGUGCGCAGCAGCGGAUGGCUGCAGUUGGACUGCGCACUGCGACAGCGCAUACAGACGGCCGCCUGCCUCGUCAUUGUGCCGGGCGACGAACGCCGUCGCAACCGUAUGCAUCACUCGCUGCACAGGCGUUCGGAGGACAGAAGUAGCAGUUGCGGCAGUAGUGGUCUGCGCUCGAGCGACCUGCACCAGGUGAAAGUGGUGAUGAGUCAGCAGAACGUGGGCUCACGUAAGCCAGUGGCAUCGGCUGAUGCGACAGCCGCCACCAAGACACUCAGCAACCGAGCGUCAGUGCCACCCGCCAACAAUCAGCGUGCGUCAGCCAGGCAUGCUGACGAAAACGCCCCGGCGAAGACCAAGUCCUGGCCGCAUCGCUUGGCUGAGGUGAAAUCAAGGUACUUGGAGCAGAGAGCGCCCCUGAAGAGCACGACAGUGACGACAAACAACAAGACAGGUCCAGGGUCAGGGACAGGGCCACCGCCCAAGUGCUGGAGUGUGCCCGCGCAGCGCAAGGGGGUGGGGGGAGUGGCCACCAAAGGGGGAGCCACCAAGGCGGGCGGCAUCACCAUAUCCAGUUCGGACUCGUCGCGAACCAGUUCGCCGGCCAUGCGAACGCGGUCGCUCGGCACGCGAACACUCUUCACCGGCACACAACACCAGCGGAAGCCCAGCUCCGAAACGCUCUCCAUGUCCACUGACUCGCUAGUCGAGGUGGCAGCAUCGAAGCAGGUGAAGAGCGAGCCGGUGGAGGUGAAUGGGAAUGUGCGCAUGCGCACCACUAAGAAGGCAGCGGCUGCAGCUGCAGCAGUCGCCGGAAAGACCAAGUCGGCCGAGUCGCUCCUCGCUACCACCAAACACCAGCCUAAGCUCAUUCACAACAACAAGGGGUCGUCACCUGUGCCACUAGCCAAACGCACGCCCACCAGUCAGACUUCGCCACGCGUGCUCACACGCGCGUCACCCAAAAUGGCGGCCACGUCCGCAUCAAGCGCCGCCUCGCCACGUGCCACCACCACAUCGGUCACCAAAACCACCACCACCACCACCAAUGCGGUCAAACGCAACACCACCUACCGCGUGUCAUCCGCCUCCAAGGCACCGCUCAGUCCCACCCCCAACAACAAAAUGGCCGCCGCCGCCAAUAAGACGAAACUGAACAACAGCAACAACAACAGUCAACAACAGCGUAAGGCGGUGAACAACAACUGUCAGGCGUCGCCGUUGUUGAACCGGGUGAAGCAGAUGCAGCAGCCGGGGGUCGGCUCAAGGUCGGGCACUUUCCUCAAGGAUGAGCCCACUGUGCUCGCCAAGCAGACUGCCCAGGCGCCAACCGCUACUGGCGAACGUUAGGGCGCAGAGAGAGGUAGGCCACACUAGCACUACAUUCAUCUGAAGGGGUCAUCGUUGGAAGACGAAGAGAGAGAGAUAGAUCAGACUAGAACUUGUGUUGAGCAGUCCAUUCAUCUGAAGGGGUCAACUUUAGAGUGAGAGAGAGUGAGAGAGAGAAAGAUAGGUCAGACUAGAAGUUGUGUUGAGCAGUCCAUUCAUCUGAAGAGGUCAACGUUAGGGUGAGAAAGAGACGGAUAGGUCACACUAGAACUUGUGUUAAGCAGUCCAUUUAUUUGAAAGGGGUCAACGUUCGGAGACUAAGAGAGAAUGUGAUAGAUGCAUAGAUCAGACUAAACCUCGUGUUAAGCAGGUCUAUUUGUCGAGUCAAGACGAUUAUUUUUGUAAAGGGAAUUAACGUUAGGAGACAGAGAAACUUUCGCCCUUUCUGAUUAAAAUACAUCACUGCAAGAAUGUUACACUCAGUAUGAGCAAUGAGCGGCUCAUUAAACUUUCUCGAGCCCUGAAGUAUGAAUAACUGACUCAUACUCUUCAGAGUUUCGUUUGAAAAGAACUUAUUCUGGAACCCCUAAUUUUAAGUUCAAAGAACAUUUAAUUCAUCAAUUUUGAGUCCUGAGAGCAUCUAUUCAGGUCAUUGGAAAAUUCCAAUCAUAUAGUUGUUAGAGAGAAUACACAAACACGUUCUAAUGCUCGAUAUUUUUGGCGGUAUUUGUGAGUAUUUUCCUUAUAAUAUUUUCUGUACUUUGAAAAAAAUACAUUUUUAAUAUUAUUCUGUUCGUAACAAAAUUUAAGUGGUGAAAUCACUGUGUAAGUGUAUUAAAAAUUAGUUCAAAUAUAAGAACAUGACACUGCGUACAAUUACAAACUUUUUCCAUCAUUUGAACUCGAAAAGAUACAAUAGCAUUAAAUUCCGAUCUACUGUUUUACAUUUUUGUGUAAUAUCUCUUGAAAAUUACUGGUAUGAAAUCUUGCGAUAGUUAAGAUAAGUUGUGUAUAUAUGCUUUUUCCAAUUUUGCUCUCUCGAGAUAUUGCAAACCACUUCAAAUUUUACUCAAAAUUGAUUUGGCUGACAGAUGAAGUACUUUUAAUACAAGUUCUAGUGAACUACCUUUCAAAUAUCUCUUGAAAUAUUUAUUAUUACUAGUCAUUGUGCCAUUAGAAGGCUUUAUUGUUUAAAGGUAUAAUGUAUUUAAAAAAUCUAGAUUGAAAAUUAAUUAUCAUUCAAUUGGAUUAUUCAAAUCAUGCUCCAAAGUGUACAUAGCUAUAUUUAGAUUAAUGUCGAUUACCUGUUUAUAUUAUAAAUAUAUAUUAUUUAUUUUGUUAGAAACCUGUCGAUGUCGAAAUAGGUAUUUGAAUCAUGUAUUUGAAUGUUGUUGUAAGAGGUGGAUAGUUUAAAAUAUUGAAAAAUACUGGUAUUCCUAUAGGAGUAUUAUACUGUAAUAUUAUACUAGGAGGAUUAAAAUGUGUGGUGUGGCUAAAAUCUUUGGAAAUAUUCCAAUUUUUCAAUAGCGUGGAUGAACCUUCAUAAUUUUCCUUAGUCACAAAUAUUUUCAUGUUCAAAAUUCCACUGCCCAUUUAUUGAACAUUUUUCAAUAGAAUUCAUUGUUAUUCAUUAAUCAAUCGUUAGAGUAGUCAUAGUAGAGAAUUAAUUAAAAUUAUCUUUAUAUUUGAAAUUAUUUCAUCAGCCACAGUAGCUAUGGAAAAUAAAGUCAAUUUUCAAAAAAAUAAUUUCAAACAAGUUAGAUUUUGAUAGAUAUUUGAAAUACUUGUUUCGACACUUAUCAACGAUUAGCAUUAUUAUUUACGUACUUUUUCUAUUGUGGUAAAAUUCACAGAUGAAAAGGUAAUAAAAGUUAUGUUUAUUGAAAAUUUUAUGUACUGGAAAAUAUCUUGAUAUGAGUAGUUUGCUUUUUAUAUUUUUUCAAGAAAAUACUUAUCACGAUUUAUCGAGUAGUUUGUUCAGCAAACUUAGCGUAGUUCUGUCAUGAAAUUACUUAAAUUACUCAAAUCUCUCUCGUUAUCACAAUUUCUCGAUACAAAGAACACGUAAGUGAUGACUUUGAGGAAUUGGCGUCACUCUAUUUUUAUUUAAUUCGUAGAAUAAAAAUUAAAAAUAUUGAACUUUAGAAUUAAAUAUUAAGCCUGGUAGGUUUCAAAAUAUACUUUAGCUACCUUAGGAUUUGGCUCCAUGGUAUUUUAUGUAUGUUGGUCAGUCAUGUAUGUCUAAAACGUGGUGCUUCUUUAACCAAAUCAUAUACAUAGAAAACUAAUGAGUAUAUUAUCUGUACCCCACCGAAGAAGCCAAUAAAUUUAUUCGCAAAAUAUUAGCAUUAUUCUUUUGCAAUACGGUAAUUAUUAAUGAAUGGUUGUAUUCACGGACUCUAAUGCUGAUUUGAUUGUCAAUUUCAAAAAUUAGAAGCAUUUGAAUUUGUUGUUAUUUCUCUGUAAAGAGUUUUUUAUAGUAUAAGUUUAUUAUCACCUUGGCAUUUGGUAAGUGUUUUUCAUGUAUUAAUAAGUUCAUAACUUAUAACUGACAACCUCGACUUUGGUUGUUGUCUGAGGAGUAAUAUUCUCUAAUUUGACUUUCAUAUAGUUGAAUUAAUUACUGUACAAGUUGAAAACUUUUCCUCAAAAAUGUUUUGUAGAAAAUAAAAUACAUUAGAUUAAAACGUUUAAACCGUUUCAAAUCAAUCUUCAAAUAUGUUAUUAAUUCAUUCAAAGGAAUAUUCUAAUUAACAUUUUUAAAAUUCUACUCUUCCUAAAUUAUUACUGAAAGAUAAUGUAUUUUAGAUAGAAAUACGAUAAAAAUUAAUCAAAUUAUACUCAGUAGGUUGACUGACUAUCUUCAAUAUCAAAUCGUUCACUACAAAAAAAAUUAAAAAUACAGCUAAGUUAUCUAAAUCCCCGUCCUAUUAGUCAUAUAUUUAUUGAAAUGAGAACCUACUAUUUGCAUUUAUGAUUUUUUAUUACAUAGUUAUGUAAGGAACUUACAUUAUUUAUUAGUGAUUAGAAGGAUUAAGUACCUUACCAUGACUGAUUAUGUGUAUGUUCUAUUAAUUUUCUACAAUCUAUAGCGUAAUAUUCUUAUUAAAGUGUUUUAUAUUGUUUCUUUGAAGACUAUUUACAGAAUGGCAGUGAGCAACUCACCAAUAAAAUUGGUGGUGGUACUAAUUAAUUAUAAUUUGUAUACUCAAUAAUUUCAUAUUAAAUUAUACUUUAAUAUCAUUUACUCAUUUUCAAAAUCGAUGUUUUUGCAUAGUCCCUAUAAUACAUCACAACAUACUGUAAUAUUUAUAAUGGUCCAACAUUAACAAGAUACAUUCAUUGUUUUGUGUACUAUAAAAUGCAUUUGGACUGGUCUAAACGUUCAUCAAAUAACUAUUCAUUUAACUUGCCUGACAUUUCAAAAUCUGAAUAAACCAUGACUAUUUUUAAUUAAAUUUGUUCGAACAACUCUUAUAUAAAUAUCAUUAAUAUAAUCUUCUAUGUUUCAAGCUAGUAACAGUUAAAAUACUUAUUCAAGUUUAUUGUAUAAAAUCAUAGAGAAACAAUAGCAUAAGAAACUUGAGAAUCUGUUUAAAUAAGAGUCAAUUGAAAUGAGAAUCUGCUUCAAUUGGUAAAAACCAUUGUUGAUUUAUAAUGGCGGUUUCCGUUUCACUUCACAUUGUGAAAUUAUAUUAGAUAUUUAAAUUCAGUUAAAAAAAUUGUUUAAUUUUCAAAGAAAUUUUUCAAGGCAACUUACUAUUGGAUUGGACCAAAUUCUUGAGAAUUUUAAUUCAAGUUGCUCACGUUCCUCUGUAUAGUCUUCCAGACUAUAGUUUUCUAAUUAAAAUUUUUGAUAACUCCUAAAUGUUGUUUAGUACACAAGAUUAUGAUACAUUUCAUCUAGAAAUAGACUUUGUAGAUGUAGAUGUGUAGAUGUUUUGUCUUCAGUUUUGCUGUAUUUAUGUCAAUUACUAUAAUUGUGUGGAUGCGUAGAGUGGAUCUCUCAAUCUUUGACUAGAUUCACAAAUUAAAUCUCGAUCAUAAUAUUGGGUAGUCAUUGCCUUUUCACUUAUCACAGUAAACCUUAUUCAAUUCAUGAUGAAAUCAGUUAUUUUUUGGUCAUAAGUUUGUGUUUCUCUUUCGCUUGAUGGAUAUCCUUCGAGUUCCAUAUAUCCUUGGAAUUUUCGCUUUGUAUUCCCCAUUUACAUUUGAGUAAUCUUUUGAAAAUUUAAUUUCAAUUAUUUUAGAUUUUAAAAAAAUGAAAAAAAUUAAAUUAGAUUUAAAAUUAAAUCAUAAAUUAUCAGAAUCAUGAUCACGUACAGUAAUAUUUAAAAAUAAUUGACCGCUUUAUAAUAUAUUUUUAGUUUCUGUACUCAAUAUUAAAUAACCAUGUGCCAGUAUAAAGGUGACCAUUUGAGUAAUCAUAUACUCUUAAAACAUGACACGAUUACUAUUAUAAAAUAUUAGAUUUAUAUUGUAUAUAUGAAAACGCUUGUGUAAAGAACAAAUUUGUGCAAUAAAGCUUUAAGGCAUCAGAAUAUUAUAAAUAGCAUUUGAGUAUCAUUUUUGAUGUAAUAUAAUAUAUGUUUUACAAGCUUCAUAAUGGUCAACAAGAAACUCAGUUUUGAUUCUUAUGAGUGUUAUCGUUUGAAUGUGUGUGCUUGAAUAUAUGUAUAUAAUAAAGUACACAUAUCGUAAGAAUUAGUCACUGCUUAUGAUUUUGUACUACGUUUGAGAAAGAUUCGAAAUCAUUUGUUGUUGGACUGUAAAUAUGUGAUAUUUUAUUGUAAAUUCUUUAUUUUUAUUUCAUUGUUCUAUAUUUACGGAAAGUCUCAACUAGAUAUCAUUUUAAAAUUAUUUUGCUAUAGUUAAAGAUGACGUUUAUGCACUCGAUAAAAAUACUAUAUUUACUAUUUAAAUGAAAAUCAAUUUGUUUAUUUUGUAUCUUAAUCUGUAAAAAUGCAAGUAUAUUUUUACAAUAUAAGUUUGUAUUUUUUUUAUUGUUCGAAGCAUUUCAAAUUGUUUUCAAUAAUAUUGUGUAUAACUGAUAGCCAGAUGACUGUGUAUGUUUAAUGGAUGGAAAAUUGUUUAACGUGAAUAAAGUUGCAAUUCAAAUUA